GGGAAUCCGGCCCGGCUGCGUGCGUACCAAGGAGGCGCCUGGAGAGGGCGGCCAAUGACUCAGGCCAGGCCAGGCCAGCAGUGGGAGGUUGGUCACGGCCAAUGCUGUCCUGUGUCCACCAGGUGGCGCUCGCGAUCACCGCAAAACACAUGGCUACCGUGAUGGUUUUUAAAUAAGAAAUCUUACAAUGGUUUUAGACAUAAAGGACUGUUGAGAAUAUGAUAGAGAGUUCGUGUGCGACCCGCACCCUGUUCCACUGCGCCUUAACAUCUGACAUGACUCUGGUCCAUCUGUCACCAUGAAGGAGCCAAUUCAUAUAUGAAGACAGCCAUGCACGGAGGGAAGGUAUUGUGAAGAGUCACACAGGAAGACAGCGUCCACAGGCCUCGAGAUGCACCAGCCCUGCUGACACCUUGACUUUGGGUUUGUGGCAUCCAGAGCUGUGAGGAAGUCGAUUUCUGGUGAUUUUAACCCCCUGCCCGCAGUUUGUGGUACAGCAGACCUAGGAAAUGAAUCCACAGUCCCUAUCCAAAGUUCACCUGUGGUUUUCUUAAAAAUACCCAUGGCGGAGCCCACACUAACGAUUCCGAUGUCCCAGGUCUGGGCGGGGCUCAGGUGUGGGUGCUUUUAAAACUGAGACUACACUGCAGGCAAGGCCAGCGUGGAGUCACGAAGCUGCUCUCCUGGUUAACCAGGAAACAGCAGCCAGGUGGUGUAGGGCGCCUGAGGACAGUCACUGAAGUGUACCUGAGAAGGUGGGGAUGACCCUGGAUGGCAGAUGCACGCGGAUGCAUGUUCCGAGCUAGGGAAUCUGGGUUGGCCAACCCCGAGAUCCGUUCCUUGUCUAUGAGACACAUCUGAGCCUCAGUUCCCUCUCCCCCACCCCAACCCCAGCCUGGCCCGUGGAACACGAGCUGUACAGGAGGUUGAGGCCCUGAGUUUUUGGUUAAAUGCAGGUUGCCAGGUGGAGGCCGUUAGGGGGAGGGGGUUAAAUGAAAAUGCUGGGUAAACUGCACGAUGUUUGCAGACGGCCGUGGCUCUCCUGUGCAGCCCGCUCUCCCCUGUCCGUACGCCGCAGUAAAACCUGUGUCUCGUUCACUGUCUCUGAGUCUCUUCGUUGGCCUCUUGAACCUGGUGCCUUCCCUAUUGAGGUUAAUAGGGGUUUCGGCACAAAGGAUGGACCCUCAUCUGCCGCCUGCUGUUUUGCGGGGAAAGGGUAGUAAGUUAUUUGGAGAGAGAAAUACCCAACACCAGGGCUGGAACCCCGGCAGCUCUGGUCCUCAGUGUGGGUUUUGACUCACAGCAGCCCCUUAGGAACUUGUUAAACUACAAAAAUCCUCAAGCCGCACACACAGCUCUUGGGUCAGAGAUUCCUGGAGUGGGCUGCUGACUGCAUUUUGAGGAGCCGUCCUGGGGGCUCCGAUGCAGGCUUGAGAGUGAGAACCCGGACGAGAAGACGUGCAGGCCCCACGCUGUGUGCACUCAGGCAGCCCCCGGACCAACCCACAGGGGUUUCAGUGUGAUCAGCUCUGUCUACAACAAGGUGUAAAGAAACAAAAUCCCACAACCACAGCCCCUGACCUGGGAGUUUCCUUCAUCAUCCGCAAACACAGUAACAUUUUCAAAAAGUCCUAAAGACUUAAGAAAAAGGCAACUUCCUCUCCACCUCCUCCAGACCUGCUCCCUGGAGGCAACCGCCACGAGAAGCUUCCCGUGGAUUUUCCCAAAGUUCUAGAGGUGCAUAUUCACCUCCACCUACAGCCUUUAAACAUGGACACACGGGAAGCAGACGACUGUCUUACUCCUUGACUUUUUUCUCGUUUAACAAUAUAUUAGGAGCUCACGCCAAUCUACGUUUUCCUAACCUGCCACUGUCUAAGUCGAUAAUAAUUUAUUGAGCCAAUUCCCGUUGAGAGGCACUUCAGUUGCUCCGUCUUUUGCUUUUAUGUACAACACUUGUUUAACAUCCUAGUAUGCACAUCUUCCUACAUACAGAUGGCUAAAUAUUGUUCCCAGACUGUGGGUUUCAUAGGCAAGUUAAAACAUCAAGAGAGUAAUCCAAAGCUGUCUCUUAUUUCACCCACUAAGGAUAUUUAAAAGAAAAAAAAAAGUAAUACCCUUUAUCAUUGCCUGUUUCACAAAAUAAAGUCAUUUUAACCUAAACCUUAGAAAAGACAGAUUCAAAAAACCAAAGUGAACACAUCGCUUUCUCACGUGACCAGGGAUCUGCAGCUCUCCAACACGGUUCUUCAAAGGAAAAGGGGAGAUGAGAUGAGUAGCACGCCCAAGCCCCCACCAGCUGUAGCUGCUCCCCCUCCCGCCUCCCAAGGGCACAAUUCUGUAAGAGGAACUCCUACCGCCUCCCUCCAUCCUGUCUGCAAUUAUAUCGCCCUGAUUUCCCAGGCUCUUCUAAUUUAGAGUGAGCGUGUCCAUUCUCAUUGGGUGCUUGGAGAAGGUAAUUCCAUCCAGGUGCCUAAUGAGACCAGCAGGCCACUGGACAGCUGUCGGGUUUUCAAAGAAAUCUGUUAGCAGGUGCUCACCA
rnacentral:lncRNA from 10 species